rnacentral:rRNA from 1 species
UACGUAGGUGGCAAGCGUUACCCGGAAUUAUUGGGCGUAAAGAGCGCGCAGGUGGUUGAUUAAGUCUGAUGUGAAAGCCCACGGCUUAACCGUGGAGGGUCAUUGGAAACUGGUCGACUUGAGUGCAGAAGAGGGAAGUGGAAUUCCAUGUGUAGCGGUGAAAUGCGUAGAGAUAUGGAGGAACACCAGUGGCGAAGGCGGCUUCCUGGUCUGUAACUGACACUGAGGCGCGAAAGCGUGGGGAGCAAACAGGAUUAGAUACCCU